UACGAAGGGGGCUAGCGUUGUUCGGAUUUACUGGGCGUAAAGCGCACGUAGGCGGGCUUUUAAGUCAGAGGUGAAAUCCCGGGGCUCAACCCCGGAACUGCCUUUGAUACUGGAAGUCUUGAGUAUGGAAGAGGUGAGUGGAAUUCCGAGUGUAGAGGUGAAAUUCGUAGAUAUUCGGAGGAACACCAGUGGCGAAGGCGGCUCACUGGUCCAUUACUGAUGCUGAGGUGCGAAAGCGUGGGGAGCAAACAGG
rnacentral:rRNA from 1 species